rnacentral:rRNA from 1 species
CCUACGGGUGGCAGCAGUGGGGAAUAUUGGGCAAUGGAGGAAACUCUGACCCAGCAACGCCGCGUGAAUGAUGAAGGUCUUCGGAUCGUAAAGUUCUUUUCUAAGGGAAGAAGGAAGUGACGGUACCUUAGGAAUAAGCCUCGGCUAACUACGUGCCAGCAGCCGCGGUAAUACGUAGGAGGCGAGCGUUAUCCGGAAUGACUGGGCGGAAAGGGUGCGUAGGUGGUUUGGCAAGUUAUGAGCGUAACUCCCAGGCUCAACCUGGGAACUCCUACUAAAACUGGUGGACUUGAGUGCAGGAGGGGCAACCGGAAUUCCGAGUGUAGCAGUGGAAUGCGUAGAUAUCAGGAGGAACACCAGUGGCGAAGGCGGGUUGCUAGACUGUAACUGACACUGAGGCACGAAAGCGUGGGGAGCAAACAGGAUUAGAUACCCUAGUAGUC